rnacentral:lncRNA from 1 species
AUAUAUAUAUAUAUAUAAAAGCACGUAUAUUCAAAUUUGGGUCUGUCGACAGACCCAUUUUUCGGCGGAAAAAUUAGCGCCCAUUUUUCUCUUUCCGUACAAAAAAAUUUUAAAUAUAAGAAUAAAAAUAGAAACCCUAAUGCAUACGUAUGUUCUCCAUAACCGAUUACUUAUAUUUUUCUAUUUUAUUUUAAAAUAUCUUUUUUAGGUAUUAUCUAUUUAAUUUUAAAAGUAAGUUUUCUAUAACAGAUUACGGGUGUGAAAAUCUUAUAAAAGAUAGUUUUCAAUUUAUUUUUAAAAUAUCUUUUUUUAGAUAUUUUUGGUAUGAAAAUCCUAUAAAAGAUAACGGAUUUUAUUCUUUUCUUUUUUGUAUUAAUUUUCGAAUUUCAAAAUAUCUUUUUUUUUUAAGAUAACAGAUUUUAUUUUUCUAUUUAAUUUCAAAAUAUAUUUUUUUUACAUUAAUUUCUGCUCAAAUGUAACAUAUAAAUUUAAAAAAUAUUUAUAAAUUUUUGAAUAAAUAUGAUUUACAAAUAUUUAUUGAUUUAAAAUAAAUUAAAAUAAUUGUUACGUGCAGUUGCACGUACACUCAACUAUAUAAAUAUAAUUACGUAUUUCAAAUUUCGAUCUGUCGACAGACCUAUAUUUUGAAGGAAAAAAAAUUGAUUCUUCUUUCCUUACGUAAAAUAAAUAACAGAAUUAAUAACAAAAUAUUAAUAGAUAUGAAUAGAGACAACAAAAAAUAAUAAUAAAAUAUUAGUAGAUAGAAUAGAGAUAAUAUAUAUAAUAUACAUUUAUCCAAAUUUUUACCAACCGAAAAAUAUUUAUUGUGAAUCUAUAUUUUAAUUCAAAAUUUAUUUAAAUGUAUAUUAUAUAUAUUAUCUCUAUUCUAUCUACUAAUAUUUUAUUAUUAUAUUAACCUUUUAAUUUUGAUACUUUUAGUUUAAAAUAUAUAUUUAAAUUUUAAAUUUAUCAGAAUUAAAAAAUACAGAAAAAUAUUCAAUGUAUAUCUAUAUCAACACUAUAUAUAAAUUUUAUAAAAUAAAAAAACUACAUAAUUAUUGUUCAUAACAACUAUUUAAAUUUAAGUUUAGAAUAUGACAGGUAUUUUUUUAAUAUUAUAAAAUAAAUAAAUUUAUUUUUAAAAAAUAUAAAUUUUUGAAUAAAUAUGAUAUACAAUUUCAUAUUAAUUUGAAAUAAUUAUUAAAUAAUUAAUUAUUACGUACAUUUGUAAGUCUACUCGACUAGUAUAAAAGCACGUAUUUCAAAUUUCGGUCAGCGGACAGACCUAUUUUUUGGCGGGAAUUGAAAAAACAGUGAUUCCUCUUUUUUACGUAAAAUAAAUAACAGAAUUAAACAAACUUUUAAUUCCUUUUUAUUUCUACAAUAGAAAAAAAUUUAUGCUUAUCCAAAUUUUUACCAACCGAAAAAUAUCUACUGUGAAUCUAUAUUUAAAUUUAAAAUUUAUUUCAUUCUUUUUUAUCUCUAUUUAUAAUAUAAUAUCUACACUAUUGUCACGCCCCGGGGUCCCUUUUCAGUUUAAAACAAAGCGGAAAAGCGUCUGAAUUUUCUUUUUUUUUUUUUUUUUUUUU